rnacentral:rRNA from 1 species
UACGAAGGGGGCUAGCGUUGCUCGGAAUCACUGGGCGUAAAGGGCGCGUAGGCGGACCUGCAAGUCGGGGGUGAAAGCCCGAGGCUCAACCUCGGAACUGCCUUCGAUACUGCGGGUCUCGAGUCCGGGAGAGGUGAGUGGAAUUCCUAGUGUAGAGGUGAAAUUCGUAGAUAUUAGGAAGAACACCAGUGGCGAAGGCGGCUCACUGGCCCGGUACUGACGCUGAGGCGCGAAAGCGUGGGGGAGCAAACAGGG